AGCUUCUGAGAACAUUGUGGAGGGGUUGACUUGAGAAAACGAUUUGUGGAACACAUUUAAAAUGCAGAUCAUCCCAAGUUGUACAAUCCUCUUUAUUUUGAUAUCAAAUAUGUUGUGUACAGGUA